UUUAACGGCCGCGGUAUUUUGACCGUGCGAAGGUAGCGUAAUCACUUGUCUUUUAAAUGGAGACCUGUAUGAAUGGCAUUACGAGGGCUUAGCUGUCUCCUCUAUCCAGUCAAUGAAAUUGAUCUUCCCGUGCAGAAGCGGGAAUAAACACAUAAGACGAGAAGACCCUAUGGAGCUUUAGACACUAGAACAGAUUAUAUUAACUGCUCUUAACACAAGACGGAAGCGAAAUACCCUCCUGUUCCAAUGUCUUCGGUUGGGGCGACCCACGGGGCAAUACAAAACCCCCGCGCGGAAUGGAGGCACCCCCUUCCACAAAUAAGAGCCCCCGCUCUAAUUAACAGAACUUCUGACCAUAAAGACCCGGCAAAGCCGAUCCAACGGACCGAGUUACCCUAGGGAUAACAGCGCAAUCCCCUUCUAGAGACCCUAUCGACAAGGGGGUUUACGACCUCGAUGUUGGAUCAGGACAUCCUAAUGGUG
rnacentral:rRNA from 1 species